CUUCCGGGAAUCUGAAGCAACUAUAAAAGCGACAGUUCGGAGGUAUUCAAAUCAGAAGAAAUUAACUGUUGAAACUGAAAAUGUUUGCAAAGAUUAUUUUAUGCUUAGCCGUUCUUGCGGUGCUUGCAAUUAGUGCAACCCCAAGCCCAGUUCAACCCGAAGAAGUGUCAAUAAGAAAAUUAGUGGUUUUGGACGAUCAAGGGAAGAUUGAUAAGACCAGAUCUUCACAAGAUGAGAAAAUAGUGUGCGUCAAAUCAAUUUGUAUCAAUAUAAAUUCAUUUUGUCCAAAAUAACUAGAAAUAAAAUUAUAUUCUUGAAA